ACAAACCGUGGUUAGCUGAAUACUAACGUUAGCCAGUAAACUGUCUAGCUAGCUCCUGGCUGGCUAGCUUCUGGCUGGCUAGCUUCUUAUUUUUGCAGUACUGAAGUGUAAGGGGCCUCCAAUUUUUUCAAUGGACUGGAUAAUUAUAUUUCACACUUGGUUCCUGUUUCAGUAAGAACGAAAUUAGACCUUGUUGAGUAUCUGAUAAUCUACAUUUAUUUUAUUUAGGAGUGGCUAAAACAUGCUAAUAACGGUCCUCUGAGUACAUGAAAAAAUGGAUAUACCUUGUAUGCCAUCCAGCCCUGGAGUUUUCCUGGACUGAUAAAGGCUUUAAUUGCAUCAAGAAGUUGCCCCUCUGUAAUUUGGCCCUCACAUGAGUACAGCUGUUCAUUUUAUAUUAUUAAUAGAAUAAAAUAAUCCUUAUAAUUAACUUCUGUUAGUGGAAAUGGAGGAGACUGAAACAAAACAUAACUGCUUAAGGUACUUUGCUUCCUUAUUCAAAAUAUUGUUUGUUGAAUCAUUGGUGAGUGGGUCAUUACAUUUCCGUAAUUUUUUGUUGUUGUAACAUUUAUAUGUUGACGAUAAAAAAUAUAUAUUUGGUGCAUUUUUCACCAUAUUCCACGCAGUUCACUUUAUUUAAAAAAUAUAUUUACUACACUCUCUUUCUUGAAUAAGUUCCUCCAUUUCUUUUUUUCCCCCUCUAACAUAUUCUGGUGCCUCUAUGGUACAGUUUUUAUUGCUAUCUGUACUGUUAGUCCAUCUAUUUCUUUUGUUAAUAUGAAUUAUUUUGACCUAAACUGCUUUUGUUUUAAAGACAAGUAUAAAAUUGCAUGGCCUCUAAAGGCACAUUUAAAAGUGUUCCAUACAAUAAGGGCUUUGUUAAGUCAUAAAAUGUCAGUUAUAAAUGAUUCUGUCCUGGUUAAAAACAAGUUGUAAUUAAAAAGGCUUUGAUAAGAUUUCCAAUAUCCUUGCCCACGUGGAAAUUCUGUAAGAGUAAUGCAUAGGCCAACUAUUUAACGGUCCAACCGCAUUCUGUCUCCUAUCAACACUUUUUUUUUCAUUUUUGGUGUCAGCAGGAAUGACAUAAGAAAGUAGUCAAGCUUGAUUUAACCUCUGCCAUGUAUAUCUCACUAGGUCAGGAUUUUAAGCCUAAAAUAUGUAUAGCUCACUAGGUCAGGAUUUUAAGCCUCCUCCAUGUAUAUCUCACUAGGACAGGAUUUUAAGCCUAAACCAUGCAUAUCUCACUAGGUCAUGAUUUUAAGCCUCCUCCAUGUAUAUCUCCCUAGGUCAGGAUUUUAAGCCUCCAUAUAUCCACUAGUUCUAAUAUAUCCAUGAUAUUCAUACUUUCCUGUCGUGACUUGACUUUAACAUUAAUUUGAAGACUGUUAUUCCUCUAAUUACCUAAAUAUGUUUAAUUGUUACCCAAUUAAAUUAAUCAUGCAAUAAUUUACUCAUUGGGAUCUGGGGCACCACGAGAGCGACAAUAUGGCUGAUUGUUACAAAAGACAUGGAGAGGCCGAGAGAGAAAGAGCGACAGAGACACUUAACAUUGGUACAUUUAGAAACUACUCUCAUUUAUAGUGCUCCUAUAUUUUGCAAACUGCCGCACGCUUGGAGUAAGAAAUCAUGAAUGUACUUACGUUAAAUGCCUUGGUUCGCGGUGUAUCGCUCUCGGAACCAGGCCGCCUUGGAAAUGGGGUUGGGCCUUUUUUGGCCUAUUUAAAAAAAUCAUGCAUAUCUUUAUUUAUUUCCACAAUUAAAUAAUAAUAUGUAUAAUAGUGUAAGCAGUUCAUACGAAGGAUUGUGAUCUAUAACCAGGAUUACAUUUUUGGCUAACAAUUAUUGUGAUGCAUCUUGUAGUGUCCCUAAAAUCGUUACCCCAUAGCAACAGAUGUAGGACACACACACAGGAUACACACACACACACACACACACACACACACACACACACACACACACACACACACACACACACGCACACACACACACACACACACACACACACACACACACACACACACACACACACACACACACACACACGCACAUGCACACUCUCCACCCUUUCCCCACAAACAAUCACAAACUCAGAUGUUCGACAGCUGUUCCAUCCCCGAGCACAACUCAAGUGACGACUUGAUGUGAAAAUAUGUGUACUGUUGUAGCUGUUUGAGAGGGCAUGAAAAAUUGAGCAAGCCAGGGGAGAUUUGAUUAACCAAUGUCAAGUACAAGCUGAUGGUGCUCAGAUAUACACACCCCUACCAUUAUACAUACACAGAUACUGGUCCCCCAUUGUGACCAUUUUACCAAGCAUCUCUGUGCCACAAGGGUCACAAUAAUAUACCCCUCUCUGAAUGUCCGAGUGUGACCCCCUCCCCAUGGGUUACUGCAGCUAGUUUUGCCAGCACUGCCACUACCUGGUUGAGGGCAACCCACCAAAAUUCCCAACUUUUAGGUACAUGGUCUCCAAGGUUCUCAUUAGCAGCUUUGAGAGUUUAUUUGUAUAUUAUGCUCACCCAGAGCUUUGGCUUUGUUGAACAAACCCUGCCAGGCAGGCUCAGACUCUUGAGGUGGCAGUGCUAAUUUAGUGGGUCUCUGACCGUGUUCAUCUUUCUGUCUUGGUUGAGUAUAGGUGUUUGUUUAGUCCAGGUGGGAAAGGGCCGUGUGGAGUGCAGUAGAGAUUGCAUCAUCUGUGGAUCUGUGGAUUUUCAUCUGUGGAUUUUUACCCCCAAUCUUGAUAAGAAAUGAACAUACCAGACACGUUUAGAUAACACAAAUAAUUAAAUAAUAACAGUCAGUAGGCUACACCAACAUUAGUGACCAUUCAUAUAAAUUGCCACAGUAGAUUUGCCGUGGUAAACAAGGAAAUACAUUAUUGGCUAGGCAGGAGAUAACAGUCCUGCCCGACUCAUUUAGAGGUA
ensembl:lncRNA